GACGAACGCUGGCGGCGUGCUUAACACAUGCAAGUCGAACGGAAAGGCCCUGCUUUUGUGGGGUGCUCGAGUGGCGAACGGGUGAGUAACACGUGAGUAACCUGCCCUUGACUUUGGGAUAACUUCAGGAAACUGGGGCUAAUACCGGAUAGGAGCUCCUGCUGCAUGGUGGGGGUUGGAACGUUUCGGCGGUUGGGGAUGGACUCGCGGCUUAUCAGCUUGUUGGUGGGGUAGUGGCUUACCAAGGCUUUGACGGGUAGCCGGCCUGAGAGGGUGACCGGCCACAUUGGGACUGAGAUACGGCCCAGACUCGUACGGGAGGCAGCAGUGGGGAAUAUUGCACAAUGGGCGGAAGCCUGAUGCAGCAACGCCGCGUGCGGGAUGACGGCCUUCGGGUUGUAAACCGCUUUCGCCUGUGACGAAGCGUGAGUGACGGUAAUGGGUAAAGAAGCACCGGCUAACUACGUG
rnacentral:rRNA from 1 species